rnacentral:misc_RNA from 1 species
UCUCCGUUGGUGAACCAGCGGAGGGAUCAUUACAGGACUCGCAAGACUCCUUCACCCUGUGAACCUCACUACAAGCACGUUGCUUCGGCGGGUGCCCCGGCUCGCCGGGGCGCGAAGCCCGCCGGCAGCCUACUAUACUCUGUCUCUUUGCGUUGGCAUCUCGAGAAAAAACAAACAAGUUAAAACUUUCAACAACGGAUCUCUUGGUUCUGACAUCGAUGAAGAACGCAGC